rnacentral:piRNA from 1 species
UACUUAACUACUCUAGAUCACCAGAAAGC